rnacentral:sRNA from 1 species
UAUACGUGAUUGGCUUCUUCCCUUUGAGAGGAAGUAGAUGGACAGCACUGAGUGUAUCCAACUCGUAAAGUGAAUGCUCCUCUUGCUUUCUCAGUGGAUGGCAUUGUGAAGAGAACGAAGAGCUAGAAACAUCUUUACUUGAGGAGCAACUUGAGACUUCAUCAUCAACGGAAUCAGUGGUUACACACCCAUCUGCUCCCGUUGUUGCACUAAGGCCACUAUCAUCGUCAUAAGAGGAACUGUUGAUAAUACAGCUCUCAAGGCCAUUAUUUCAGGCUUACUGUCAGGCUCCUGGUCCAUGUCGAUGCUGAAGUCCUGCGGCCGCCGCCGGCAGCACGCCAGCGUCUUCAUCCUCAUUCCCCUCC